rnacentral:lncRNA from 1 species
GUGGAUGUCCUGGUCUGGGCUGCCACCACCUGGGACCAUGUUGAUGCCCAAGGGCUGUACAGAGCUGGCCCCACACCUCACUGGCUUCCUGCACUCAGGAGAGUGGGCCCACACACCUGGGCAGCACAGUAGAGCUGGCCCUGGUGGCAGGGGCCAAGAGUGAGCUGGGCCUGAGAGGGUAAACACAGGACAGCUGAACCUGCCACCUGCGGGCAACAACAAGAUGUCCGAGAGGAGUCCUGGUGAGGAUCCAGUAUUGAGAGAAUAGCAGAAGCCAGAGGCCUCGAACCAGACCAAUGACUCACUGCAAUGAACAAGAUGUGUGGCCAAGAGCAUUCUGUGAGACCCACUGUGACCCACUACAACUUUGAUGUCAAGGUACUUCACUCUUAUAAGGAAAACAAAGCUGGAAGAAACAAUUUUAAAUUAAAAAAAAAAGAAUCUAAGGCUGAAGAGACUGUAAAGGAGCCUGAGGCCUGGCUUCUUGCUCUACCCCUGCAGCACUCAGCAGACAGCCACCUCCCAUAGGGCAAGGCAAGGGAGAACAGGGUGAAGAACUCCGGGAGAGGGGACCAGAGGAGGGGGCAACAUUUGGGAUAUAAAUAUAAUUA